GUGAAUCAUCGAAUUUUUGAACGCAAAUUGCACUCUCUUGGGAGAGUAUGGCUGUUUGAGUGUGAGCCUAAAAAAAAUCGACAUAGUCGCUGUUACGCGGUAACAUUAGGGGGAACUUGGGUCAUUUUAAACAUUUGGGGGUAAGCGGCGUACAAUUUUCUUUAAGAUUCCAAGAACGUGUAUUAGAU
rnacentral:misc_RNA from 1 species